CGGCAAGUCCUACACGACCAGCUCCUGCAGACUCCCCCAGGGUGGGAACGCAGCAAGGGUACGCGGUUGAGCGGUGCGAUGUAGGUCGCUUGCCAUUU
rnacentral:SRP_RNA from 2 species